GGAUUUCUGGGCGUAAAGCGUGCGCAGGCGGUGAUGUAAGACAGAUGUGAAAUCCCCGGGCUCAACCUGGGACCUGCAUUUGUGACUGCAUCGCUAGAGUACGGUAGAGGGGGAUGGAAUUCCGCGUGUAGCAGUGAAAUGCGUAGAUAUGCGGAGGAACACCGAUGGCGAAGGCAAUCCCCUGGACCUGUACUGACGCUCAUGCACGAAAGCGUGGGGAGCAAACAGGAUUAGAUACCCUGGUAGUCCACGCCCUAAACGAUGUCAACUGGUUGUUGGGUCUUCACUGACUCAGUAACGAAGCUAACGCGUGAAGUUGACCGCCUGGGGAGUACGGCCGCAAGGUUAAAACUCAAAUGAAUUGACGGGGGCCCGCACAAGCGGUAAUCGAA
rnacentral:rRNA from 1 species